UGGGGAAUAUUGGACAAUGGGCGCAAGCCUGAUCCAGCCAUGCCGCGUGAUUGAUGAAGGCCCUAGGGUUGUAAAGCUCUUUCACCGGUGAAGAUAAUGACGGUAACCGGAGAAGAAGCCCCGGCUAACUUCGUGCCAGCAGCCGCGGUAAUACGAAGGGGGCUAGCGUUGUUCGGAUUUACUGGGCGUAAAGCGCACGUAGGCGGACUUUUAAGUCAGGGGUGAAAUCCCGGGGCUCAACCCCGGAACUGCCUUUGAUACUGGAAGUCUUGAGUAUGGUAGAGGUGAGUGGAAUUCCGAGUGUAGAGGUGAAAUUCGUAGAUAUUCGGAGGAACACCAGUGGCGAAGGCGGCUCACUGGACCAUUACUGACGCUGAGGUGCGAAAGCGUGGGGAGCAAACAGG
rnacentral:rRNA from 1 species